rnacentral:misc_RNA from 1 species
GAUGAAGAACGUGGCGAAAUGCGAUAAGUAAUGUGAAUUGCAGAAUUCAGUGAAUCAUCGAAUCUUUGAACGCACAUUGCGCCCCCUGGCAUUCCGGGGGGCAUGCCUGUUCGAGCGUCAUUUCACCACUCAAGCCUCGCUUGGUAUUGGGCAACGCGGUCCGCCGCGUGCCUCAAAUCGACCGGCUGGGUCUUCUGUCCCCUAAGCGUUGUGGAAACUAUUCGCUAAAGGGUGUUCGGGAGGCUACGCCGUAAAACAACCCCAUUUCUAAGGUUGACCUCGGAUCAGGUAGGGAUACCCGCUGAACUUAAGCAUAUCAAUAAGCGGAGGA